rnacentral:piRNA from 1 species
UCAAUUUCUGUGUGUCUUGAUGAGUU